GUUUCAUUUCGAAGAAGUUCUUGGGAUGUAGGAUCUCCCUCUUGUGUCUUUUCUGCUGUUUCAUCUGCACUGAGGGUCACAUUGGCAUCAGGAGCAGGUUCCUGGACUAAACCGACAGUAGGUGGUUCGACAGGUUUGUCAUCUGUUACUAAUGGAUCAAUGGAAGAUGCCUUGUUGCUGUCUUCAGCUUCAACUGAAUUGAUGUUUCGAGUGUUCUUGUACAAAUUCAAAUUUACACCUUCCAAACUCUCAUUCCUCACCUCACCAAUCAAACCAACACCGUCAGAAGCUUUUACCUCUUCAGAAUUUCCAGCUACUUCAUUUUCAACAUUUACAGUAUUAUCUUGCUCAACAUUUUUAACAGUCACUUCUGGCUCCACAGCACAUUCAGGAACUUCAGUGGCAGGAGUGGUAUCAGACGCCUCUACAACACAUGUGACUGACACUUCUUUCUCUUCUGCAGAUUCCUUGUUGUGCUCAUCAGCAUUGUGAUCAUCGUCUGCCUUUUCAGUCGACAAUUUGGGAACAAUAUUUUCUCCUUCAAUCUCUUUAUUCUCAUCUAUAGAAGGAACUAUACCAAUUCCUUCCGAACUUACCAUUUCAACAGUUUCAUUAACCUGAUUGAUUGGAUCUUCAGUACCGGAUAAUGAGGUUUCGUUUCGAGGAAGUUCUUGUGACGUAGGCUCUCCCUCUUGGGACUUUUCUGCUGUUUCCUUUGCAUUGAGGGUCACAUUGGAAUCGGAAGCAGGUUCCUGGACUAAACCAACAGUAGGUGGUUCAACAGGUUUGUCAUCUGUUACUAAUGGAUCAAUGGAAGAUGCCUUGUUGCUGUCUUCCGCUUCAACUAAAUCGAUAUUUCGAGUGUUCUUGUACAAAUUGAAAUUUUUACUUUCCAAAUUCUCAUUCUUCACCUCGCCAAUCAAUCCAACACCGUCAGAAGCUUUUACCUCUUCAGAAUUUCCAGCUACUUCAUUUUCAACAUUUACAGUACUGUCUUGCUCCUCAUUUUUAACAGUCACCUCUGGCUCCACAGCACAUUCAGGAACUUCAGUGGCAGGAGUGGUAUCAGAAACCUUUACAACACAUGUGGCUGGCACUUCUUUCUCUUCUGCAGAUUCCUUGUUGCCCUCAUCAGCAUUGUGAUCAUCAUCUAUCUUUUCAGUUGACAAUUCAGGAACAAUAUUUUCUGCUUCAAUCUCUUUAUGCUCAUAUAUAGAAGGAACUAUGGCAAUUGAUUCUGAACUUACCAUUUCAACAGUUUCAUGAACUUGAUUGAUUGGAUCUUCAGUACUGGAUGAUGAGAUUUCGUUUUGAGGUAGUUCUUGUGACGUAGACUCUCCCUCUUGGGACUUUUCUGCUGUUUCAUUUGCAUUGAGGAUCACAUUGGAAUCAGGAGCAGGUUCCUGGACUAAACCAACAGGAGGUAGUUCUACAGGUUUGUCAUGUGUUACUAAUAGAGAAUCAGGUACACUAAAAACUUCUGAAGAUUCUUCAAUACUUUUUGCUUCUUCAGUCACGAUUUCUGAGACUGAUGGUUCUUCUGGUGUUUCAAUUGAAUCUUCUGUAACAGAUGCAUCUGAAACCUCUGCUGGUUGCUCCACAGGUUCCUUUGGUGAUUCAGGGGUAUUAGGUACAUCAGUUUUGCCCAUUGCAUCCUUUUCUUCAGCUUCAACUGAUGGUUCUGAAACUGACUCAUCUAUUGCUGCUUCCUUCACCACCUCAAUCACAGUGCCCUCUUCUUUUUGUUCCAGAUUCUCUUCUGUUUCAGCUGUAGGUGCUUCAACACUUGCUGAAUCCUGCACAGCCUUUUCCUCUUCAUCUUUUCCUUUUAGAUCAUCGGGGUUUGAAAUUGCCUCAUCAGCAUUACUUAUAUCAUCAGAAACACUAGUCACAAUCUGCUGUAAAAAGGUGUGAACUAUUCAGCUAAUAUAGAAAAUUAAAAAGCAUGAUGAUAUUUAAUUAGGUAGCAUAUAUUGAUAUUUGCUAAUCGAAACGCAAAGGCACCUUUUCUUCUUCAUCAUUUCCUUUUAGAUCCUCAGGCUUUGAAAGACUUGGCUCAUCAGCAUUACUUACAUCAUCAGAAACCUUUGUUUCAAUCUGUUAUAAUAGGUUUGAUUUAUUCAUAUAUCGACAAACAGCUCUCACAUAUAAAUACAGAAAAUGCAAAAGCACAAUGGUAUUUUCUUAGUUAGCAUCUUCUCGUAUUUGCAAAUGCACCUUUUCCUCCCCAUCUUUUACUUCUAAAUCCUCAGGCUUUGCAGGGUUCGCCUCAUUAGCAUUACUUGCAUCAUCAGUAACAUUAGUCUCAAACUUCUGUAAAAGGUUAGAACCAUUUAGAUAUCAACAAAAAGCUCUGACAAAUAAAUAGUGAAAAAUACAAUAGCACAAUAAUUUUUGCUCGGGUAGCAAAUAUUUAAAUGACAUUUGCAAAUGCAAAUUCAGAUAAACCUUUUCCUCUUCAUCUUUCCCUUUUAGAUCAUCGGUCUCUGAAAGACUCAUGUCAUCAGCAUUACUUACAUCACCAGAUACAUUAGUCUCAAUCUUCUGUAAAACGGUUUGAAGUUUUAACUAGUUAAGAAAUAUAAGAAAAAUGCAAAAAACAGAAUGAUAUUUGCUUAGCAUGUACUAUGGUAUUUGCAAGGAUACUUGGAAAUGCACCUUUUCCUCUACGUCUUUUACUUUUGGAUCCUCAGGCUCUGAAGCACUCAUUUCAUAAGCAUUACUUAUGUCAUCAGAAACAUUUGUAUCGAUCUGUGGUAAAACGUCUAAACUAUUCAGCUAUCAACUAAAGCCUUUGAUAUUUGCUUAGGAGUCAUAUAUACUUCAUCAUAGUCACCUGACAUUCACUAUUGUCUAAAAUUAUUAUCAGUAAGAGAAGGUAUGGAAUUUGUAUUUCUUAUGAGAAUUUUUGUGAUGGGCAAUGUAAGUUUCGCAUUGAACUGUUCUGUAAAAUUAAUAUGAUGAGAAAGUUGCAGUCUGGUUUUCACUUACUUUACAUGCCUGUGAAACGACGAAGAGCGAAAUUACCUAGUUGCAUUAUGUCAAUGGAGAUCAUAUCAAAACAGGUCCGAAAAGGUUUGCUUUACUCUUUCUUCGACAUAAAUCAUACAUUUUGACAUAACGUGUCUGUAGAAAUCAAACUAACAUAAUGUCUGCUGAAAAGAAAAAAGCUAAAAGACCAAUUUGGAUCUUUCUAACACAUCCUUUAACAAAAUGCUUUCCUGCGUUAUAUGACUGGAUAAGCUGAACUGCAAAUUGCAAAUCCUUAAAGGUUGUUCUGUAGAAACUAAAUAGAGAUAUUCUUAAGAACUGAGCAAGCAUUUGGUGGAUUGCAGUAAAUCCUGUGAGUGUGCAAACUUUGGGACCAAAUUUCAGUGCAUACUGAUAGAAAAUCUUAUCUUCUAUCACAUACAACAUGAUUCUUGUAUCAUCUUGCUUGCCAAUUCUACUUAUAUUAAGUAGUACAAACUGGUUCCAUAUCAAAUACGAAGCUGGUUGUAAUCUGCUUUUGGUUUACAAUGUAAACUACACUUAGAAUUUCUUAUGUUAAACUUGUUAGAUUUAUGUAUAAAGACAGAUACAAGCUUUCCUGCCUUUCAUAUCACAUUUGUGGAUACAAUAAUGAAGAAAUAAGAUAAAUAAUGGUAACUCAUUAUGUUCAGUAAUUUGGUAAACAUACCAAUUAUCUUUUGCAAUCAAUAACUAACUAAAUUUUGUGCAUAAAACUUGAAGGCACAUCAAGAAAAUGUAUAAAAAUAAAUAUGAUGGAGGAAUACAGUAACAACAUACAAGAAAAAGAAGACAGGCCAUUCUCAAGUGCUAAUGGAGACUACAAGAUGACUAAGAUCGAAUUGAUGCUAGCUAAUAGGGUUUUACUUGUAGGAUUUAAAAAUGAUAUAAUCAGGGUUCUGAAAAUUAGGAAAUAUUGCAAUUUAGAGAUAGGAUGUCUUGUUCCAGAAACAAUCACUCUAGAACAGAUUAGCAGAGGCCAUAUAAAGAGAGGCAUAGGAUGCAAUAUUAUACACAAAAUCAUGUAUUUGCAAACAUUAAACAACUUUUUUUUCUUAUUUAGCCCCCCAUUUCUUUCCCUCUUCCCUUCUUUGAGGAAACUGGGAGAAACAACCACAAGAGGAUUCAUCUGAAGAACUUAAUGGGGAUCACCUACUAAGAUACAAAAAAGAAAGAAAGAAAGAAAGAAAGAAAGGAUCGUUGGCCAGUGUAAUUGUGUUUAAUCACAUCACCUAGUUGUGAAAGCUGUACUUACACAAAGCAAGAAAGAGAAGGGAAGUAUGUAGAUAAGGCAUUUCUUCUUCACUGACCUCAGUAACCGUUUCAUCUGUCACAGAAGCUUCAGAGGCCAUGGAUCCAGGAGUUUGUAUGGUGACAAUGGACCCUGUGAUGAGCAGCAGAGGCAGGGAAGGCGUGGGAAGAUGAGAAGAGACC
rnacentral:lncRNA from 1 species